AUUUAAAUAGUUUAAUAUAAAAUAUUGAUUUGUGGAAUCAAAGAUAUAAUUAAUUAUUAUUUUGAAUA
rnacentral:tRNA from 1 species